AUUGAACGCUGGCGGCAUGCCUUACACAUGCAAGUCGAACGGCAGCACGGGUGCUUGCACCUGGUGGCGAGUGGCGAACGGGUGAGUAAUACAUCGGAACAUGUCCUGUAGUGGGGGAUAGCCCGGCGAAAGCCGGAUUAAUACCGCAUACGAUCUACGGAUGAAAGCGGGGGCCCUUCGGGCCUCGCGCUAUAGGGUUGGCCGAUGGCUGAUUAGCUAGUUGGUGGGGUAAAGGCCUACCAAGGCGACGAUCAGUAGCAGGUCGGAGAGGAGGACCAGCCACACUGGAGAUGAGAACCGGUCCAGACUCCUACGGGAGGAAGCAGUAGGGAAUGUUGCGCAAUGGGCGGAAGCUUGACGGAGCAACGCCGCGGGAGUGAGGAAGGGCGUCGGAUCGUAAAACGCGGUUAUUAGGGAAGAACAAAUGUGUAAGGAACUAUGCACGGCUUGACGGUACCUAAUCAGAAAGCCACGGCUAACUACGUG
rnacentral:rRNA from 1 species